AGACUGUUGACAAUGAAAUUGUGCUUUGAGAACCAAAAACAAAAGAACAGAGUCCUGGCGAGGGAAGCAUCGAUAUUCUUUAGAAGUACCCUGUGCCAGAGUGUGACAUCUGGUUUAUCAAAUUUUCGUGUGAUUUUCACUUUAAUCAGUUGGCCAUAGGAAAUCGUGAAGGCAAAAUCUAUGUGUGGGAAGUGCAGUCCUGUCC